rnacentral:rRNA from 1 species
AGAGUUUGAUCCUGGCUCAGGACGAACGCUGGCGGCGCGCCUAACACAUGCAAGUCGAACGGAGCUGAGAGGAGCUUGCUUUUCUUAGCUUAGUGGCGAACGGGUGAGUAACGCGUGAGUAACCUGCCCUGGAGUGGGGGACAACAGUUGGAAACGACUGCUAAUACCGCAUAAGCCCACGGCCCGGCAUCGGGCUGCAGGAAAAGGAUUUAUUCGCUUCAGGAUGGACUCGCGUCCAAUUAGCUAGUUGGUGAGGUAACGGCCCACCAAGGCGACGAUUGGUAGCCGGACUGAGAGGUUGAACGGCCACAUUGGGACUGAGACACGGCCCAGACUCCUACGGGAGGCAGCAGUGGGGGAUAUUGCACAAUGGGGGAAACCCUGAUGCAGCGACGCCGCGUGGAGGAAGAAGGUUUUCGGAUUGUAAACUCCUGUCGUUAGGGACGAUAAUGACGGUACCUAACAAGAAAGCACCGGCUAACUACGUGCCAGCAGCCGCGGUAAAACGUAGGGUGCAAGCGUUGUCCGGAAUUACUGGGUGUAAAGGGAGCGCAGGCGGACCGGCAAGUUGGAAGUGAAAACUAUGGGCUCAACCCAUAAAUUGCUUUCAAAACUGCUGGCCUUGAGUAGUGCAGAGGUAGGUGGAAUUCCCGGUGUAGCGGUGGAAUGCGUAGAUAUCGGGAGGAACACCAGUGGCGAAGGCGACCUACUGGGCACCAACUGACGCUGAGGCUCGAAAGCAUGGGUAGCAAACAGGAUUAGAUACCCUGGUAGUCCAUGCCGUAAACGAUGAUUACUAGGUGUUGGAGGAUUGACCCCUUCAGUGCCGCAGUUAACACAAUAAGUAAUCCACCUGGGGAGUACGACCGCAAGGUUGAAACUCAAAGGAAUUGACGG